CAGCAGCCGCGGUAAUACCGGCGGCCCGAGUGGCGGUCACUAUUAUUGGGCUUAAAGCGUCCGUAGCCGGGUUGGGAAGUCCUCCGGGAAAUCUGGCCGCUUAACGGUCAGAAUGCCGGAGGAUACUCCCAGCCUAGGGAGCGGGAGAGGCCGAGGGGAUUCCCGGAGUAGGGGGGAAAUCCUAUAAUCCCGGGAGGACCACCUGUGGCGAAGGCGCUCGGCUGGAACGCGUCCGACGGUGGGGGACGAAGGCCAGGGGAGCAAACCGGAUUAGAUACCCGGGUAGUCCUGGCUGUAAACGAUGCGGACUUUGUGUCGGACAAGCUAUGAGCUUGUCCGGUGCCGGAGGGAAACCGUUAAGUCCGCCGCCUGGGGAGUACGGCCGCAAGGCUGAAACUUAAAGGAAUUGGCGGG
rnacentral:rRNA from 1 species